UCCUACAGCCACACCACCCCUGAACGCAUUCAAUCUGUCUCAUCUCAGAAACUAAGCAGAAUCAAGCCUGGUUAGUACUUCAGUGGGAUACUGCCUGGGAGUACUGGGUGCUAUAAGCU
rnacentral:rRNA from 1 species